rnacentral:rRNA from 1 species
GGAGUUAGCCGGUGCUUCUUCUGUGAGUGAUGUCCUUCCUGCCGGCUAUUAACCCGCAGGCCUUCUUCCUCACUGAAAGUGCUUUACAACCCGAAGGCCUUCUUCACACACGCGGCAUGGCUGGAUCAGGGUUGCCCCCAUUGUCCAAUAUUCCCCACUGCUGCCUCCCGUAGGAGUCUGGGCCGUGUCUCAGUCCCAGUGUGGCUGAUCAUCCUCUCAGACCAGCUACGGAUCGUCGCCUUGGUGAGCCGUUACCUCACCAACCAGCUAAUCCGACAUAGGCUCAUCCGAUAGCGCGAGGCCCGAAGGUCCCCCGCUUUCCCCCGUAGGGCGUAUGCGGUAUUAGCCUGGGUUUCCCCAGGUUAUCCCCCACUACCGGGCAGAUUCCUAUGCAUUACUCACCCGUCCGCCGCUCGCCACCAGGGAGCAAGAUCCCCGUGCUGCCGCUCGACUUGCAUGUGUUAGGCCUGCCGCCAGCGUUCAAUCUGAGCCAGAAUCGAAACCUCGACGACGUAGACGGGCGGUCGGUCGGACGGACGGCCGACUAAGU